rnacentral:rRNA from 1 species
UAGGGAAUCUUCCGCAAUGGGCGAAAGCCUGACGGAGCAACGCCGCGUGAGUGAUGAAGGUCUUCGGAUCGUAAAACUCUGUUAUUAGGGAAGAACAAAUGUGUAAGUAACUAUGCACGUCUUGACGGUACCUAAUCAGAAAGCCACGGCUAACUACGUGCCAGCAGCCGCGGAAAUACGUAGGUGGCAAGCGUUAUCCGGAAUUAUUGGGCGUAAAGCGCGCGUAGGCGGUUUUUUAAGUCUGAUGUGAAAGCCCACGGCUCAACCGUGGUAGGUCAUUGGAAACUGGAAAACUUGAGUGCAGAAGAGGAAAGGGGAAUUCCAUGUGGAGCGGGGAAAUGCGCAGAGAUAUGGAGGAACACCAGUGGCGAAGGCGACUUUCUGGUCUGUAACUGACGCUGAUGUGCGAAAGCGUGGGGAUCAAACAGG